rnacentral:rRNA from 1 species
UUAGAGUUUGAUCCUGGCUCAGGAUGAACGCUAGCUACAGGCUUAACACAUGCAAGUCGAGCGGUAUGUGCUUUAGUGCAUACAGCGGCAGACGGGUGAGUAACACGUAUCUAACCUUCCCCUUACUUGGGCAUAGCCUCUGGAAACGGAGAUUAAUUUCCGAUGUGGUGUACAUUUCGCAUGUUUUGCGCACCAAAGAUUUAUCGGUAAGGGAUGGGGAUGCGCUCCAUUAGGUUGUAGGUAGGGUAAUGGCCUACCUAGCCUAUGAUGGAUAGGGGUUCUGAGAGGAAGGUCCCCCACAUUGGAACUGCGACACGGUCCAAACUCCUACGGGAGGCAGCAGUGAGGAAUAUUGGACAAUGGAUGGAAAUCUGAUCCAGCCAUGCCGCGUGCAGGAAGACGGCCUUAUGGGUUGUAAACUGCUUUUAUACGGGAGCAAUAAGGGUUACGAGUAAUCCGAUGAGAGUACUGUAUGAAUAAGGAUCGGCUAACUCCGUGCCAGCAGCCGCGGUAAUACGGAGGAUCCGAGCGUUAUCCGGAAUUAUUGGGUUUAAAGGGUGCGUAGGCGGCCAUUUAAGUCAGCGGUGAAAUUUUGCAGCUUAACUGUAACAGUGCCGUUGAUACUGUUUGGCUAGGAUUUGGUUGUAGUGUGCGGAAUGUGUGGUGUAGCGGUGAAAUGCUUAGAUAUCACACAGAACACCGAUUGCGACGGCAGCACACUAAGUCAUUAUUGACGCUGAGGCACGAAAGUGUGGGGAUCAAACAGGAUUAGAUACCCUGGUAGUCCACACUGUAAACGAUGAUAACUCGCUGUCGGCGAUACACAGUCGGUGGCCAAGCGAAAGCAUUAAGUUAUCCACCUGGGGAGUACGACCGCAAGGUUGAAACUCAAAGGAAUUGACGGGGGCCCGCACAAGCGGUGGAGCAUGUGGUUUAAUUCGACGCAACGCGAAGAACCUUACCAAGGCUUGACAUCCCUCUGCCCGGAUUUUAAUCGAUCCCUUUCUUCGGAACAGAGGAGACAGGUGGUGCACGGUUGUCGUCAGCUCGUGUCGUGAGAUGUCGGGUUAAGUCCCGCAACGAGCGCAACCCCUGCUUCUAGUUGCCAUCAUUAAGUUGGGCACUCUAGAGGGACUGCCGGUGACAAACCGGAGGAAGGUGGGGAUGACGUCAAAUCAUCAUGCCCCUUAUGUCUAGGGCUACACACGUGCUACAAUGGCCAGUACAAUGAGAUGCAAACUCGUGAGGGUGAGCUAAACUAUAAAACUGGUCUCAGUUCGGAUUGUAGGCUGAAACUCGCCUACAUGAAGCUGGAGUUGCUAGUAAUCGCGAAUCAGAAUGUCGCGGUGAAUACGUUCCCGGGCCUUGUACUCACCGCCCGUCAAG